rnacentral:rRNA from 1 species
AGCAUAUCAAUAAGCGGAGGAAAAGAAACUAACAAGGAUUCCCCUAGUAACGGCGAGUGAAGCGGGAAGAGCUCAAAUUUAAAAUCG